GACGAACGCUGGCGGCGUGCUUAACACAUGCAAGUCGAACGGAAAGGCCCUGCUUUUGUUGCGUUCUCGAGUGCCGAACGGGUGUGUAACACGUGAGUAACCUGCCCUUGACUUUGGGGUAACUUCAGGAAACUGGGGCUAAUACCGGAUAGGAGCUCCUGCUGCACGGUGGUGGUUGGUAAGUUUCGGCGGUUCGGGAUGGACUCGCUGGUUAUCCGCUUGUUUGUGAGGUAGUGGUUUACCAAGGCUUUGACGGGUAGCCGGCCUGAGAGGGUGACCGGCCACCUUGGGCCUGAGAUACGGCCCAGACGCCUACGGGAGGCAGCAGUGGGGAAUAUUGCGCAAUGGGCGGAAGUCUGAUGCAGCAACGCCGCGUGCGGAAUGACGGCCUUCGGGUGGAAAACCGCCUUCGAAUGUGACGAAGAGUGAGUGACGGUAAUGAGUAAAAAAGCAACGGCUAACUACGUG
rnacentral:rRNA from 1 species